UUUCAGGCUCAAGACCCGCUAAUUGACGCAAAUAAUUAACUUGUUCAACGGGCAAUUCAACCCAACCACCGCGGGCA
rnacentral:tRNA from 1 species